rnacentral:rRNA from 1 species
CACGUAGGGAGCAAGCGUUGUCCGGAUUUAUUGGGCGUAAAGAGCUCGUAGGCGGCUCAGUAAGUCAGGUGUGAAACCUCCAGGCUCAACCUGGAGACGCCACCUGAUACUGCUGUGGCUAGAGUCCGGUAGGGGAGCGUGGAAUUCCUGGUGUAGCGGUGAAAUGCGCAGAUAUCAGGAGGAACACCAGCGGCGGAAGGCGGCGCUCUGGGCCGGAACUGACGCUGAGGAGCGAAAGCGUGGGUAGCAAACAGG